ensembl:lncRNA
GAUGACUUGAGUUAAUUAUAUUGAGAGCAUGUGUUUGCUGAAUGAAUAUAUAGUGCAAUGAAUGAUUUAUUUGGCCACUUUUGUGUAAGGUUUUGCAGAAAGAGUUUUGAAUAUUGAAACGUGUGGAAACAGGUGAAUAGUGUUUAUGGUUAUGGGAAAUGUGUGUGUUUUUGGGAAUGGCGUAUGGGUUUUUGUGCUACAGGAACCAGUUUUUGUGUUUAAGCAAUCAAGAAAAACUGUAAUAAAUGUAGGUUAUUGACACUUAUACUAUUACGUGGGGGAAUUUAAUUGAAAUUCCAUGACACGGAAGUACUCUCUUAGUGUUGCUGACGAGACUCUGAUCAUGUGAAGAGUUUGGAAAUCAAAUGCCCAAUUGUGGUGCCACCAGACAGCAGAAAACAAGUUGGUACCUCCAGCAGGCAGAGAGGCAAGAACCAUUCUUCCACCAGUUCAGGGACAAGCUACACUAUUUAUAAUACUGUGUAAUGCUCAAUGUAAUUGCAGUGCUGGUCUUUUUUAAACUUAAUGUAUUUGUAUUGUUUAAAAAAUGUACAAAUAAAAGGAAAUGUAUGGUUGAAACAUGCCUUUAAUUAUUAUUUAAC